AUGCCGGCGGCUCCCCUUCCUGAGGUGCUUGGGUGGGGGUUGCUGCUGCUUCUAGCAAGCCAGAUUUGACAUGGGGCCAUGGUCACAUGCUUGUGCUAGGAGAAGGCAGCUGCCUGGAGUGCCAACUGGGAGUUUAGGAAUGGAGAGUUCACUCUCUGAGCAAGCUGUAACCACAGGAUAGCCGUGGGCCCCACAGGGUAAACAAACUAAUCCAAACAAAAAGAUGAAAAUAAAUGAAGGUGGAAAAUGGAACUCUACAGAGUAAAGCAAUGGACUUCAGUUCCUCCAGUUGCUUAGAAGGCAACUACAGUUCAGAUCCCAGUCUCAAAGCUUCAGAAGUACAGGGGGCAGAAGGCUGGAAGCAAGAGAAUGGAUGGCCAUGAGUUGAAGUGAGUUAUGAUGGCCCCUGUUGGUGUUGACCAAAAAUGUUGACAUGAAUGAUCGGGAGCACUGUACAAAUUCCUGCCUGUUGCCCACCACCCACUGCCAAGACUUGAAAUGGAGCCAAGUUUCUCCAUGUGAAAGUCAUCAGGGAUGAGACAUAGAGUUUGUUGUCACUGGCACAAAGUAAACAAGUUACCCAGAGCUUACUGGAAAUGCAUGCCAUACAAACAAGAUGCUGAGGUGACCAGGACCUCAUGCUGUUGCUCCUGUGCCCCGUUGCUCUCUCUAAUGGACUUUACCCUCAAACUGUGAGCAAAAGAAGACUCUUCAAGUAGCUUUUUCAGGUAUUGUGUUAUAGCAACAAGAGCAAUAGGAACAAGAAGAACAACAAGAACAAGAACAAGAACAACAACAACAACAACAAGAACAACAAGAACAACAACAACAACAACAACAACAACAACAACAACAGUAACUAACAUAGGCAGACACUGGGGAGAGGAAUUGCCAGGCCAUACAACAACUGUAAAAGACAAUGGUAAACACUUUCAAGAGUCAAUAUUCCAACUUUGGUUCACACCUGCAGUUUACAAAAAACCACCCCUUCCGCAUCCUUUAGAAUGCGAUUUAGUAAGGUAUAUCUUUUCAAACUUAGCCAGUCUGAUGGGUCGAAUGCUAUCCCACUGUGAUUUUAAUUUAAGGUUCCUUCAUGACUAGUGAUGUUAAGCAACUUUCUGUAUAUUUAUUGGCUGUUUUCCCAGUACUAUUUAUCAGAUGGCCGCUUCUUGGCAUCUGGUUUAAGGUUAAGCGCCUUAAGGAUGAAUACAUCUAGUUUCCAAAGACAGUGCACUGUUUUUACAGUUCUCCAAGUUCAUGGUUCUCAUUAGUUCUUUUAACAGAGACACCCUCUAGAUUUGUGGGGCUCUGCUUUUUCUCACUAAGUGGCUCUCUCGGGCCAAACUUUCUAUAUGUGGAUUUGGUUCAAUAAAUGUACAAAAUCAAGGACAGACCAAAUAGAAAGCCACUAAAGGCCAUUGGCUAGGUCAUCAAAUGGUCUCUUAGAUGGUGGUGGCUGAACACUAGCCUAGGAAAAUAUGUGUAUCUUCCCAUCAUUUUCUAAGUAAAAGUCUCAAUGGACAUGUUACUGUGAAUUUAUGAUGUUCUUUGAGGAGUUUGGGUUAGUUCUGUAAUAAAAAUCCUGGCUUAUGGAGACACGCGUCUGGUUCCCACACAUUUAAGGCUAAAGAGAGCACAACUAAGUUUUCUUAAGGUCAGCUUACUGAUGUCUCCAAGGAUAAAAGCCACCUUCUGAUUGAAGUCUUGCUUUCAUCAUAGUUUUGGCAAAGGAUUCCCAAGUUCCAUUCCCCCGGGAUGAUCAGCUAGAGUUUUCUUUUGUCUCUUGUUAUGAAGAAUUCACUUUGGCAGGGAUGAAGGGUAUUGCAGGCCUUUCUGUUUUAAUUUCAAGAUUUUUACAAUCAGACCCAAGAAGACAAUUGUAACCAAUGAAAACCAUCCACUAGGAAUAGAGACUAAGAUACAAAUACAUGCACAAUGGCAGCCAUGGACAGAAAAUAGAAGCCUUGCUUUCAGCUUUUGCCAAAGAUUGUUUAGACUUGAGAUUGAAAGCAAGGUUAAAUCUGCAUCCACUACUUUUGCUAGCCUUGAGCCAGAAUGAGCUAAAAAAAAGAUGCUAGUCUAUCACUAUAAUAGCACUGUAUCUGUAGGCCUCCGAAGAUAAGCUAGUAAGUUGUCACAAAUGUUUGAACAACUUUCUUUAUAUUACCUAUGAUUCCACUUGUAAGGAAUAGCUGCUGGUUACGCUUGUCCUAAGGAAUGGGAGAAUUUUCUGGUGGAAUGUUCUGUUCAAGGCUCACAGACUCAGUGGGAAUAUGGGCAGGCAGAUUUAGAUCAUGGGUCAGAAUCUGGUGAGGUGCAGAAAGUUUGGCCUCAAGGGCCAUAGAUCAACCUUAUAUUUCAUUCCUCAAGGUACUUGUCUUUGAGACAGGAUUCUCAUUGGCCUGGAACUUACCAACGGACAGAAGGCUAUGCUGUCUGUCCAGUAGACACAAGGAGCUGCCUGACUUUGUCUUCCCAGGACUGUGAAUGGGUGCUGAGGAUCCAAGCUCAGGUCCGCAAACACAAUUGGCAAGCACUUUAUCGACUGAGCUAUUUCACCAAUGUCUUUCCUUGAUUCUUCUAGCUGCAGAGCUGAAGAUGUGCUGACUCCUGACCUUGCUUCAACAUUGUUUGUCAUCUCUUUCGUGGAUUCAAUGAUUUGCUCAAGAUUCUUCCAGUAAUGGAACAUUCUUUUACUUUCAACCUGAAUACUCUAAUCAUGACCCUAAAGAUGGGAGAUGGAAUCCAAUUUAUUUUGUGCUACAAGAAUGAGGGACAAAAUACCUUAAGGCUUUCCAUCACACUAGGAGACAUAUGCAGUUCCAGAAGAGACCUUUCUAUUGGCUGAUUUUCUGUCUCCAUCACAAUCACCCAUUUACUGCUUGUAGUCACACAGACAGACCCUGGAGAAUAGAAUACACUGGGCAUUGUGUGCAUACCCUGAAAAGAUAGAUGUUGAAUUAUGUGGAUAUUUCACAGUCUUAAGGAUUCUUAGGAAGAGCUUAAUGGGCUACAUCAAAGCAUACAUAAGUUUCUUCUUUACCUUUAUUCGAAGCCAUACUGACAUUAUUGGUUAUAUACUCAAAGUUGCUACAUUAAAUCAUCUUAGCUUGUUAA